rnacentral:rRNA from 1 species
GAUGAACGCUGGCGGCGUGCCUAAUACAUGCAAGUCGAGCGAAUGGAUUAAGAGCUUGCUCUUAUGAAGUUAGCGGCGGACGGGUGAGUAACACGUGGGUAACCUGCCCAUAAGACUGGGAUAACUCCGGGAAACCGGGGCUAAUACCGGAUAACAUUUUGAACCGCAUGGUUCGAAAUUGAAAGGCGGCUUCGGCUGUCACUUAUGGAUGGACCCGCGUCGCAUUAGCUAGUUGGUGAGGUAACGGCUCACCAAGGCAACGAUGCGUAGCCGACCUGAGAGGGUGAGCGGCCACACUCGGACUGAGACACGGCACAGACGCCUACGGGAGGCAGCAGUAGGGAAUCUUCCGCAAUGGACGAAAGUCUGACGGAGCAACGCCGCGUGAGUGAUGAAGGCUUUCGGGUCGUAAAACUCUGUUGUUAGGGAAGAACAAGUGCUAGUUGAAUAAGCUGGCACCUUGACGGUACCUAACCAGAAAGCCACGGCUAACUACGUGCCAGCCGCCGCAGUAA